AUGACUAGAAAAAUCCAACAAACGUCAAGGCCAUACACAGCUUCCUGGGGCUCACUGGACUACCGGCGGUUCAUGCGAAACUUUGGAGUGAUAGCACGCCCACUGUUUAAUCUUCUCAAAAAGGGGGUGCCCUUUGUUUGGACACACACCACCGAGACAACCUUCCAGCUGCUCAAGACACGGCUGAUCACCGCGCCGGUGCUUGCGCUGCCGGACUUCUCUGACCUUUCUGCGUCGAGACGAAUGCCAGCGAGUACGGCAUUGGUGUUGUCCUGCAACAAGGAGGGCACGCAAUGGCGUUUAUGA
rnacentral:rRNA from 1 species